GACCCAAUAAUGAGCCAGCCAGUAAGCUAGCUCUUGAAACUUGAGCUAGCGCCAUCUUCUCUCGGGGCGGGCUUGUGAUACGCUUUUCCCGGCUUCCUCGAUGCCACCAUUCCCAUCAUCUCCCUCCAUCGCUGCAGCGGCGGCGGCGGCCGCGGCAGCAUCCCUCACCUCGCUUGCCUACGCCGAUAGCGCCUUCCGCUUCCCGUUUCUGUCCUCUCCUUCACCUCCUGUCACCGAUGGCUCGUCCUCGGCAUCCGCGGCAUCAUCUUCUUCUUCUGGAGGGUUCGACCCGGAAUCGCUGGAGCGAGGGGCGAAAGCCCUGCGGGAAAUCAACGGCUCGCCUUAUGCCUCGCAGGUUUUUGAGCUGAUGAGGAAGCAAGAGGAGAGUCGUUUGGCGGAGAUUGCGGUUGAGAAGGCUAGGCAUCUAGCAAUUCAGACGCAGGCUGAUAUUGAGAAGCAGCAGAAGCUGGCAGAGGAGCAAAGGAAUCUUAUUCAACAACAAGCCCAGACCAAAGCCCAAAUGGCACGCUAUGAAGAUGAGCUAGCUAGAAAAAGAAUGCAGACAGAGCAUGAAGCUCAUAGGCAACAGAAUGCUGAGCUAGUCAAAAUGCAAGAGGAAUCCUCUACUAGGAAAGAACAAGCAAGACGUGCUGCAGAAGAACAGAUUCAAGCUCAACAACGUGAAACUGAGAAAGAGCGAGCUGAAAUAGAGCGUGAAACAAUUAGAGUAAAAGCUAUGGCAGAGGCUGAAGGUCGUGCUCAUGAGGCAAAAUUAACGGAAGAAUAUAACAAGAGGAUGCUGUUAGAACGCAUGAAUGGAGAAAGGGAUAAAUGGUUGGCUUCAAUUAACGCAACUUUUAGUCAUAUUGAAGGUGGAUUGAAAAUGUUGUUGACUGAUCAGAGUAAAAUGAUCAUGGCUGUUGGUGGGGUAACUGCGCUUGCUGCUGGCGUUUAUACUACUAGGGAAGGUGCAAGGGUAAUGUGGGGUUAUGUCAAUAGAUUGUUGGGCCAGCCAUCACUGAUUAGGGAAUCUUCCAUAGCGAAGUUUCCAUGGUCAGGAAUUAUGUCUAAAUUUUUAAAGAAGAUAGAGAGUUAUGGUGCGUCAAAUAAGGAUUUGGUUUCUAUGAGAAACAAAACAAGCUUUGACAAUAUUAUUCUCAACCCAUCACUAAAGAAGAGGAUUGAGCUACUUGCCAGAGCUACAGAGAACACAAAGUCUCAUCAAGCACCUUUCCGUAAUAUGCUUUUCUUUGGACCACCAGGUACUGGGAAGACUAUGGUUGCAAAAGAGAUGGCACGAAAAUCAGGCCUAGAUUAUGCAAUGAUGACGGGAGGAGAUGUAGCACCUUUAGGUCCACAAGCUGUUACGAAGAUACAUGAAAUUUUUGAUUGGGCAAAAAAAUCAAGAAAGGGCUUACUGCUUUUCAUUGAUGAGGCUGAUGCAUUCCUGUGCGAGAGAAACAAUAUACACAUGAGCGAAGCUCAGCGGAGUGCUCUGAACGCGCUGCUCUUUAGAACUGGCGAUCAAUCCAGAGAUAUAGUUCUCGUCCUUGCUACAAACAGACCUGGUGAUCUAGAUGCAGCAGUUACAGAUCGUAUCGACGAAGUAAUUGAAUUCCCACUUCCUGGUGAAGAAGAACGCUUCCAACUACUGAAACUUUACUUGAAUCAAUACAUAUCUUCUAAAUCUGGAGAUGAAUCAUCCUCAUGGAGGUCUCAUUUCAAUAAGAAGCAGCAGAAAAUAGUUCUGAAGGAUGUGAGUGACGAAGAUAUUCGAGAAGCUGCUAAAAGAACUCAUGGAUUCUCUGGAAGGGAGAUUGCAAAACUUAUUGCUAGUAUUCGCGCCACAGUCUAUGGUAGCACAGAUUGUGUUCUGGACUCUAAUUUGUUCAGGGAGAUGGUGAACUUUAAGGUAGAUGAGCAUUAUAAGAGGAUAAAGCUUGCUGAUGAAUAUACUGAUAAAGUAUCAAUUAAGGAAUGAAGAGCUUGUGAAUUUCAGUGUUCGGCAUGAUACUGAUAGAGAUGAAGAUUAGAGGAAGGAGUACAAUUUUACUGGAAAAGUUUUGUUAAAAUUUAUGUACUUCUAUUCUUUGCAAGAACAAUGGAGCACCAUACAUCUCUGGGCUCUACUCAUUUUUUCUGCUUCCAGGUGCAGUUGAGUAAGCUUACCAACAAUGGCAUGUUCUGUUUGACCAUCUCCUCAAGAACAGAAAAGCAUUUUCCAAAGAUAUCUGUUACUCCAUCUUGUGAAUUGGUAGUUGCUCCAGCAGGAUACAAUUUCACAG